UAAAUUGGUUUAACACAAACAUUGUUUAUGAAUUAUGUGUAUGAUGCAUUGUUGAGAAUGUUGUUAGAAAAAAAUAUCAU
rnacentral:sRNA from 1 species